UACGGAGGGGACUAGCGUUGUUCGGAAUUACUGGGCGUAAAGCGCACGCAGGCGGAUUUGUAAGUCAGGGGUGAAAUCCUGGAGCUCAACUCCAGAACUGCCUUUGAUACUGGCGAUCUUGAGUCCGGGAGAGGUGAGUGGAACUGCGAGUGUAGAGGUGAAAUUCGUAGAUAUUCGCAAGAACACCAGUGGCGAAGGCGGCUCACUGGCCCGGUACUGACGCUGAGGUGCGAAAGCGUGGGGAGCAAACAGG
rnacentral:rRNA from 1 species